rnacentral:sRNA from 1 species
AGAAGCUUCGACUAAGGUUCGACUCGAGCGCCAGCGAGAGAGCGUUGCCGCAGGCAACGACCCGAAGGGCGAAGCGCGCAGCGCUGAGUAAUCCUUCCCCCACCACCA